rnacentral:rRNA from 1 species
AUGCAAGUCGAGCGCGGGAAGCAAACUGAAUCCUUCGGGAGGACGUUUGUGGAACGAGCGGCGGACGGGUGAGUAACACGUGGGCAACCUGCCUGUAAGACUGGGAUAACUCCGGGAAACCGGGGCUAAUACCGGAUAACUCAUCGGAUCGCAUGAUCCGAGGUUGAAAGAUGGCUUCUUGCUAUCACUUACAGAUGGGCCCGCGGCGCAUUAGCUAGUUGGUGAGGUAACGGCUCACCAAGGCCACGAUGCGUAGCCGACCUGAGAGGGUGAUCGGCCACACUGGGACUGAGACACGGCCCAGACUCCUACGGGAGGCAGCAGUAGGGAAUCAUCCGCAAUGGACGAAAGUCUGACGGUGCAACGCCGCGUGAGUGAGGAAGGCCUUCGGGUCGUAAAACUCUGUUGUUAGGGAAGAACAAGUUCCGUUCGAAUAGGGCGGAGCCUUGACGGUACCUAACCAGAAAGCCACGGCUAACUACGUGCCAGCAGCCGCGGUAAUACGUAGGUGGCAAGCGUUGUCCGGAAUUAUUGGGCGUAAAGCGCGCGCAGGCGGUUCCUUAAGUCUGAUGUGAAAGCCCACGGCUCAACCGUGGAGGGUCAUUGGAAACUGGGGAACUUGAAGA